rnacentral:rRNA from 1 species
GACGAACGCUGGCGGCGUGCUUAACACAUGCAAGUCGAACGGAAAGGCCCUUCGGGGUACUCGAGUGGCGAACGGGUGGGUAACACGCGGGUGAUCUACCCUGCACCUUGGGAUAAGCCUGGGAAACUGGGUCUAAUUCAUACUAGGACCGCGCGCUUCAUCGCGUGUGGUGGAAUGCUUUGGCGGUGUGGGGUGGGCCCGCGGCCUAUCAGCUUGUUGGUGGGGUAAUGGCCUACCAAGGCGACGACGGGUAGCCGGCCUGAGAGGGUGACCGGCCACACUGGGACUGAGAUACGGCCCAGACUCCUACGGGAGGCAGGAGUGGUGAAUAUUGCACAAUGGGCGCAAGCCUGAUGCAGCGACGCCGCGUGAGGGAUGACGGCCUUCGGGUUGUAAACCUCUUGCACCAGGGACGAAGCGCAAGUGACGGUACCUGGAGAAGAAGCACCGGCCAACUACGUG